GUAUUCACUGAUGUCCCCAUCAGCUGCAAGAGAAAAUCAAGUUUAUUGACCAAUGUUUAGUCAUCAACAAGCAGUUCAGUUGAUGUCAAGCAAUUUAGCUCAAACAGCAAACAAAUGAAUAACUAAUUUCACCGUGCUAAGAAAAGAGGCCUAUUACCCUGAGGUAUCGCUGCUGGUGUGAAUUUGACAGGGCCAGCACGGGCCAGCAGUGACAGUGGCCGUAACUUAGAACUUUUUAGGUCAGAAAGAACACCACGGGACAUGAACGAGAUAAGAUUAAUAGUUUAACUGUGAGAAUUGGACUUCUCAAACUGAGACCCCAUUGUUAAGGAGUUAGUUAGUUACAGCUCCUCAGGGGAUCCAUGAUUAAGCAACAUUGUGGCGACUGAGGUUAAAAAGACCGAUCUGUGUACAAUGAUGUCAGAACGCAUUCUCCAGUCGUAGGUGACAGAGCUCUUUGUGAACUCACCUAAGACUGUAUUUGUACACCUCUUAAGACUCAGUAAACUCAACUCAAACUUUUGCUCUGUGUGGCGGCCUCUUCACUUGAUUCUCUGUAAAACAACACGUAGAUUUAGUUUAAACUUAACAGCUGGUGAACCCCGACGUGCAGAGAUUCGAGUGGGGAGCCGGGCCUGGCUGACCAGUGGAGCUGAACUCCGGGGAAGCUUCCGUGGGGUCCUUUGAUGACAAACAAAGAGCUGCAGCACUGAACGAAAAAGGUAAGGACAAACCUAUUUAAUUAAAUUGUCCAUAGCUUAGAAAGAUCAUAUAGUCUUUGUCUGUCAUCUGGGAACCUGUGGGCGUAGCAGCAGGGUUGACUGGUUUUGUGGGGUGGACAAAGAAUUGGGCUUGAGCUGUAAAAAAUCCUGUGUGGUCAGAUAGAGACCGUGUGAGUCUAUCUGUAAAAAAAUCCUGUGCGGUCAGAUAGUCAUUAGUUGUCUAUACUGUAUAACAUCAAAAAUCCUGUGCGGUCAGAUAGACUAGUUAUCUAUGCUGUAAAAAAAAUCCUGUGCGUGAGAUAGUCAUUAGUUGUCUAUACUGUAUAACAUCAAAAAUCCUGUGCGGUCAGAUAGUCAUUAGUUGUCUAUACUGUAUAACAUCAAAAAUCCUGUGCGGUCAGAUAGACUAGUUAUCUAUGCUGUAAAAAAAAUCCUGUGCGGUCAGAUAGUCAUUAGUUGUCUAUACUGUAUAACAUCAAAAAUCCUGUGCGGUCAGAUAGUCAUUAGUUGUCUAUACUGUAUAACAUCAAAAAUCCUGUGCGGUCAGAUAGUCAUUAGUUGUCUAUACUGUAUAACAUCAAAAAUCCUGUGCGGUCAGAUAGUCAUUAGUUGUCUAUGUUGUAAAAAAUCCUGUGCGGUCAGAUAGAUUAGUUGUCUAUACUGUAAAAAUCCUGUGCGGUCAGAUAGGCCUUGUGUGUCUAGUCUGCAAAAUCCUGUGCGGUCGGAUAGUCGAUGUGUGGGACUAUUUGGUAGAAAUCCUGUGUGGUACAAAUUUUCCUAGACAGUAAGGUGUACGAAGACGCGUCUCGCUGAAUGGUAACGCUGACGAGCAGGGACUGAUUGGUCUAAUUGGGCCAUUUAGCUGUUCUUAGUCCAUAACUGGCGACGUACAUCCUCCUGGGUUAGAGGAAAAGAAGAGAUUCAGUUGCCUGGAAGAGGCUUUGAUCUCCAAAUCAGACAGAGCUCUAGGUUUUCAGCUUCGUUGCUGAAGUGUUGUUUUAGUCAUCACGCUUGGAAAAAUCGUGUGGUGGCUGUGCCUUUGAUCGGAGGCGAACUUGAGAUAGAAUCUCAGUCAUAUAGCCGCCAGAGGCUGUGGCUGAAAAAGAAGUACUGGAGAGUUAUAGUAGGAGUAUUAUAAUAACAAGAGAUACGACUGUGAGGCUGAGGUGCUUGUACGUUCGGAGGAUUAAGGAUUCCUUGAUUCGUAUGGACUUUUGGGUCCGACGGGUCUAACGGACUGGUGGCGCUCAGACUUGCUCAUUGUGUUUCAGUAGCCUUGUUUGCGGGUCAUAACGUGCUGAAAGGUUACGGCUGGUUCCUGCGAGACCCUCACGAAGGUCCUAACACACGGUGGUUAAGCAGCUGUAAAUAAUUAAGCACGUGACAAGCGAAACAAGGCUAUUUUUUCUAGCAAAUCAAAAAAAAAAAAAAAAAAAAAAAACAAAGAGGAAAUUGGAUAUAAAAGACCUUAAACUAAUAAGUCCAAUUGGAUAUAAGGACCUGGAAAUUGUGCUAGAUCGAUUUAGCAGCACAUUGGUGGGGAAGGAUAACACAAAUAUCCUCCCCAGUUCAAUUUGUGGAUGAAUGCAAGUACGGUUUGUGGACCAGAAAGAGUGGGGGGACUAUUGUGGGGGACUAAUAGUGGGACUACAACUAAUUGAACCAGUAAUUAAUCCAAAACUCGCUUUAGCCAUUGACUAAGGGAAAGUAGCACAAGCAGGUUAAGUCAUGGCAGAUGAGUUGAACCAAAUAAAGAUUGCAGAAUAAGAGAAGCUGACGGUGGUUUUGGUGAUUAUACUUUAGUUAGAUUCGGAACAACACAGGAUUUAGUAGUGGAGCCAAACACGACGACAGUGGUAUCCACCCAACCCGCGAAAUUUCCAUUUCCAAAUUUCCGAAAUGAUCCAAUUUUCCAAGCGCCCCGCAGCCGGGCAAAAGUCACUGGGUUUGGCAAACCAGCGGUGCAUUCUGCACGACCGCAACAAAGAGAGCCACCUGCACAAAUGGACAUGAGUCGGGUUCAUUGUUACUGCUGCGGAUUCCCACCACAUUACGCAGAAGAAUGCUAUUCCCUGGGUCUGUCAGACCCACCAAAGAGACAUAAAGUGGGUGAUCGGAGCGAGAGGAAGAAAGGGUAGCGGAGAAAAGACACCAUCACUGAAGCCUGAUAAGGCAGAGAAAUAAGAAGGGUGUAUGAUAAUGAUGACAAUACUGCUUAAAUAACAUAAUACAAGUGCAGCUCGAUUUGAGGAUGAGGAUUUUUUGGUCUGAUCAGCCGGAAAUCUUUAUUCAAUAAUCGAAUUGCCUAGAGGUCCGCAGGGGUAGAGGAGCGGAGUUAAGAUUUAUGUUUACCGACACGGGACACAUGCAGAAAAUGAUAAAAGGAGUUGAAGAAGUGCCGCAUCCCUCGAGGGGAGCGGAUAAAUGCACUAAGGAAUUUAGAAUUAGUGCAAAGCAAUUCAUUAAACUUAGUCGAAGUUGGAAGAGCAAUGAGAGCCUGUAUAACAGUGCCAACAAUGUUAACUGAUAAAGUUAGGGGGAAACACCAUAGUGUAUAUAAAAUAAUAAGGGUAUAGUGGGUAAAUUCUCUAUUCUCCUCUAUGAAACGGACAGAGACGGAGAAAGACAGGAUCCUGAGGGUGUGGGCUGUUUGAGUAGCGGAGCACCAAGGGUGGGGGCUGUUUGCUCAUUUAUGCCCUGACACACACAAGGAAAGAAAGAGAGAACGUACAUGGAGGAGAAGGAGGGGUGAAGAAAAGGAAAAAGCCCAGAAGCUUAGUGAGUAAAAAAGGUGGGGGCUCGAUCACUCAUCCUGACAGCGAGCGCGCAAGGUCGCGAAACAGACAGAGGAGAUUUUUAAGAAAGCGAAUUCACUCAUUACUUUUGAGUACGUCUUUGCACACACGCCUGUAUUGAGACUAAUGAAAAGAAAAUUCUUAAUACAUAAAACUGUAGUUGAUACGUAGUACCCGUUAAUACAUAGUGUUGUGAGAUGUGGAGUAAAAGAUGCCUUUGAAUCAGAACCAACCACGUGGUUAAAAGAGAUAGUCAUAUUGUAUUAAGUCAUAAGCGAAUGGGGGCCAGUACGGGUACUGAUACUGCAUAAUUGGGAAAAGUAGACAGUAGACUGAAGUGGACUGAACUAAAAAAGUGAACUGAGACGUGAAACAGAAGACGUGAAAUGGUACCAGGAGUGGGGUCAUAUGAAAUGGCGAACUAGCGUUCCCGAGUUAGAUCAUUUUAAAUAUAGAAUGUUGCUUUUUCCCGAAGUGAUAGGAUGUUCGGAGAGAGACACACACACAUGGUUCACACGCUAUACUCCCUGCGCUGAAGAAGGAGAAAGGAGGGGGGCCACACGCCCACCCGGACACAUACCUUCGCACACACUUUUCGCACACUCUUUUGAUUACACACACUUUACACAGCAUUAUUUAGCACCCAGAAAAUUAGUGGGCAGAGGCAAACCUCUGUCUACUUGGACCCCUGUAGUAAGAAAUGAUUUGGCCGGAUGAUUAACUUGAUAUCCCAGCAGGUACGGACUGGUGUGGAGACAGAAGACCAAGGCUGUUUGAAAAUACUUCCAGUGAUCAUAGGAGAUCAGGAUGAGACGGAGGGGAGAAAGGAGGAGCUGAAUGCGGCUGCGCAGAGUGAACAGUCCGACUGGUUCGCAAUCAUGGAACAUUUCUACUGGCGUGAACCACAGAUGAGAGAGAUGGAGGCAUGGGAAAGUAGGGAGAAGCAUAAGCGUAAAAAACGUAGACGGCAGUAUUAGGUGACAGGGAAUGAAAGUGCGUAUGAAUGGAUGCGUUGGCUUAACUGUGCUGGCUAUUUGGCUUAUGUGCUAGGAUUUCAGUAUAGGAGUGCAUACUGUGCAUACUCUGCUUAUGUUCUCUGUUUGUCUUAUCUUCCUUUCCCUCAUUUUCCCACACAUAAUCGCAUUGUUUAGGUCAAAUGUGCCUAUGAUCUCUUUUUGUCCCUUAUCUUUCUGUCUCUCAUUUUUCCAACAUAUAAUCGUAUUUUUUUAAUCAUACAUAAAGGAAUGCAUAGUUAAAUGUAUUACAUAGUUAAUUUGUUUUUAGUAAAUGCCUGUAUUAUGAGAGGUCUUACUUACUAUAUAGACAAUAGUUAAAGGAAGUGCAUAAUUUAAACUUUCAAUUGAUGGAGCAUGGAUCAGGUCAAAUAUAUACUGUAGUAUUGCAUGGUACCGUGGGUACAAUAUACCCAAUUGUAUUUUUUAUUUUUUCAUAAGAAUAGGUGUUUAGACACUAAAAGGUUGCGCUCUGAGGGCAGACCUCAAGUGAAAAGCGCGAGCGGUUCUACCAAAGCUAUGGUAAAUCGAUACCUGACGGGGGCAGGUAUCCCCGCGACAGAGUAAGCGCCUGGAGGUGUAUUAUGCUUUUGCUGUGCUAGAAUGCGAAAGGAGGGUGUUUUGAUAUUAUUGUGUAAAGUAAUUAAGAAACCACCCCAAAAUGUAACCCUGCUUUUUAGUGCUUGCGUGAGUGUGGUGUUGACCUCAUAAAUGAGGUCAAAGGAGGGAUUGUAAGAGAAAAUCAAGUUUAUUGACCAAUGUUUAGUCAUCAACAAGCAGUUCAGUUGAUGUCAAGCAAUUUAGCUCAAACAGCAAACAAAUGAAUAACUAAUUUCACCGUGCUAAGAAAAGAGGCCUAUUACCCUGAGGUAUCGCUGCUGGUGUGAAUUUGACAGGGCCAGCACGGGCCAGCAGUGACAGUGGCCGUAACUUAGAACUUUUUAGGUCAGAAAGAACACCACGGGACAUGAACGAGAUAAGAUUAAUAGUUUAACUGUGAGAAUUGGACUUCUCAAACUGAGACCCCAUUGUUAAGGAGUUAGUUAGUUACAGCUCCUCAGGGGAUCCAUGAUUAAGCAACAUUGUGGCGACUGAGGUUAAAAAGACCGAUCUGUGUACAAUGAUGUCAGAAUGCAUUCUCCAGUCGUAGGUGACAGAGCUCUUUGUGAACUCACCUAAGACUGUAUUUGUACACCUCUUAAGACUCAGUAAACUCAACUCAAACUUUU